rnacentral:rRNA from 1 species
ACGGGUGAGUAACACGUGGGUAACCUGCCUCAUAGAGGGGAAUAGCCUUUCGAAAGGAAGAUUAAUACCGCAUAAGAUUGUAGUGCCGCAUGGCAUAGCAAUUAAAGGAGUAAUCCGCUAUGAGAUGGACCCGCGUCGCAUUAGCUAGUUGGUGAGGUAACGGCUCACCAAGGCGACGAUGCGUAGCCGACCUGAGAGGGUGAUCGGCCACAUUGGGACUGAGACACGGCCCAGACUCCUACGGGAGGCAGCAGUGGGGAAUAUUGCACAAUGGGGGAAACCCUGAUGCAGCAACGCCGCGUGAGUGAUGACGGUCUUCGGAUUGUAAAGCUCUGUCUUCAGGGACGAUAAUGACGGUACCUGAGGAGGAAGCCACGGCUAACUACGUGCCAGCAGCCGCGGUAAUACGUAGGUGGCAAGCGUUGUCCGGAUUUACUGGGCGUAAAGGGAGCGUAGGUGGAUAUUUAAGUGGGAUGUGAAAUACUCGGGCUUAACCUGGGUGCUGCAUUCCAAACUGGAUAUCUAGAGUGCAGGAGAGGAAAGUAGAAUUCCUAGUGUAGCGGUGAAAUGCGUAGA